AUUGAACGCUGGCGGCAUGCCUUACACAUGCAAGUCGAACGGCAGCACGGGUGCUUGCACCUGGUGGCGAGUGGCGAACGGGUGAGUAAUACAUCGGAACGUACCUUAUCGUGGGGGAUAACGCAGCGAAAGCUGUGCUAAUACCGCAUACGCCCUGAGGGGGAAAGCGGGGGAUCGCAAGACCUCGCGCGAUUAGAGCGGCCGAUGCCUGAUUAGCUUGUUGGUGGGGUAAAAGCCCACCAAGGCGACGAUCAGUAGCUGGUAUGAGAGGACGCUCAGCCACACUGGGACUGAGACACGGCCCAGACUCCUACGGGAGGCAGCAGUGGGGAAUUUUGGACAAUGGGGGCAACCCUGAUCCAGCAAUGCCGCGUGAGUGAAGAAGGCCUUCGGGUUGUAAAGCUCUUUUGUCAGGGAAGAAACACCGGCUCUAACACAGUCCGGGAAUGACGGUACCUGAAGAAUAAGCACCGGCUAACUACGUGCCAGCCGCCGCCGUAA
rnacentral:rRNA from 1 species